rnacentral:rRNA from 1 species
AACGAACGCUGGCGGCAGGCCUAACACAUGCAAGUCGAACGCUCGUAGCAAUACGAGAGUGGCAGACGGGUGAGUAACACGUGGGAACCUUCCCUAUGGUUCGGAAUAGCUCAGGGAAACUUGAGGUAAUACCGGAUAAGCCCUUCGGGGGAAAGAUUUAUCGCCAUUGGAUGGGCCCGCGUCGGAUUAGCUAGUUGGUGAGGUAACGGCUCACCAAGGCGACGAUCCGUAGCUGGUCUGAGAGGAUGAUCAGCCACACUGGGACUGAGACACGGCCCAGACUCCUACGGGAGGCAGCAGUGGGGAAUAUUGGACAAUGGGCGCAAGCCUGAUCCAGCCAUGCCGCGUGAGUGACGAAGGUCUUCGGAUUGUAAAGCUCUUUUGGCGGGGACGAUAAAUGACGGUACCCGCAGAAUAAGCCCCGGCUAAC